rnacentral:rRNA from 1 species
UUAAGCGACUAAGCGUACACGGUGGAUGCCCUGGCAGUCAGAGGCGAUGAAGGACGUGCUAAUCUGCGAAAAGCGCCGGCGAGGUGAUAUGAACCUUUGACCCGGCGAUGUCCGAAUGGGGAAACCCAGUGUGUUUCGACACACUAUCGUUAACUGAAUACAUAGGUUAACGAGGCGAACCGGGGGAACUGAAACAUCUAAGUACCCCGAGGAAAAGAAAUCAACCGAGAUUCCCCCAGUAGCGGCGAGCGAACGGGGAGCAGCCCGGAGUCUGAAUCAGCUUGUGUGUUAGUGGAACGGUCUGGAAAGUCCGACGGUACAGGGUGAUAGUCCCGUACACGAAAAUGCACAGGUUGUGAACUCGAAGAGUAGGGCGGGACACGUGGUAUCCUGUCUGAAUAUGGGGGGACCAUCCUCCAAGGCUAAAUACUCCUGACUGACCGAUAGUGAACCAGUACCGUGAGGGAAAGGCGAAAAGAACCCCGGCGAGGGGAGUGAAAAAGAACCUGAAACCGUGUACGUACAAGCAGUGGGAGCCUCUUUUAUGGGGUGACUGCGUACCUUUUGUAUAAUGGGUCAGCGACUUAUAUUCUGUAGCAAGGUUAACCGAAUAGGGGAGCCGAAGGGAAACCGAGUCUUAACUGGGCGUUAAGUUGCAGGGUAUAGACCCGAAACCCGGUGAUCUAGCCAUGGGCAGGUUGAAGGUUGGGUAACACUAACUGGAGGACCGAACCGACUAAUGUUGAAAAAUUAGCGGAUGACCUGUGGCUGGGGGUGAAAGGCCAAUCAAACCGGGAGAUAGCUGGUUCUCCCCGAAAGCUAUUUAGGUAGCGCCUCGUGAACUCAUCUUCGGGGGUAGAGCACUGUUUCGGCUAGGGGGCCAUCCCGGCUUACCAACCCGAUGCAAACUACGAAUACCGAAGAAUGUUAUCACGGGAGACACACGGCGGGUGCUAACGUCCGUCGUGAAGAGGGAAACAACCCAGACCGCCAGCUAAGGUCCCAAAGUCAUGGUUAAGUGGGAAACGAUGUGGGAAGGCACAGACAGCCAGGAUGUUGGCUUAGAAGCAGCCAUCAUUUAAAGAAAGCGUAAUAGCUCACUGGUCGAGUCGGCCUGCGCGGAAGAUGUAACGGGGCUAAACCAUGCACCGAAGCUGCGGCAGCGACGCUUAUGCGUUGUUGGGUAGGGGAGCGUUCUGUAAGCCGUUGAAGGUGGCCUGUGAGGGUUGCUGGAGGUAUCAGAAGUGCGAAUGCUGACAUAAGUAACGAUAAAGCGGGUGAAAAGCCCGCUCGCCGGAAGACCAAGGGUUCCUGUCCAACGUUAAUCGGGGCAGGGUGAGUCGACCCCUAAGGCGAGGCCGAAAGGCGUAGUCGAUGGGAAACAGGUUAAUAUUCCUGUACUUGGUGUUACUGCGAAGGGGGGACGGAGAAGGCUAUGUUAGCCGGGCGACGGUUGUCCCGGUUUAAGCAUGUAGGCGGAGGUUCCAGGUAAAUCCGGUACCUUUUAACGCUGAGGUGUGAUGACGAGGCACUACGGUGCUGAAGUAACAAAUGCCCUGCUUCCAGGAAAAGCCUCUAAGCAUCAGGUAACACGAAAUCGUACCCCAAACCGACACAGGUGGUCAGGUAGAGAAUACCAAGGCGCUUGAGAGAACUCGGGUGAAGGAACUAGGCAAAAUGGUGCCGUAACUUCGGGAGAAGGCACGCUGAUAUGUAGGUGAAGCCCCUGCGGGUGGAGCUGAAAUCAGUCGAAGAUACCAGCUGGCUGCAACUGUUUAUUAAAAACACAGCACUGUGCAAACACGAAAGUGGACGUAUACGGUGUGACGCCUGCCCGGUGCCGGAAGGUUAAUUGAUGGGGUUAGCGGUAACGCGAAGCUCUUGAUCGAAGCCCCGGUAAACGGCGGCCGUAACUAUAACGGUCCUAAGGUAGCGAAAUUCCUUGUCGGGUAAGUUCCGACCUGCACGAAUGGCGUAAUGAUGGCCAGGCUGUCUCCACCCGAGACUCAGUGAAAUUGAACUCGCUGUGAAGAUGCAGUGUACCCGCGGCAAGACGGAAAGACCCCGUGAACCUUUACUAUAGCUUGACACUGAACACUGGUCCUUGAUGUGUAGGAUAGGUGGGAGGCUUUGAAGCGUGGACGCCAGUCUGCGUGGAGCCGACCUUGAAAUACCACCCUUUAAUGGCUGGUGUUCUAACGUAGACCCGUAAUCCGGGUUGCGGACAGUGUCUGGUGGGUAGUUUGACUGGGGCGGUCUCCUCCCAAAGAGUAACGGAGGAGCACGAAGGUUAGCUAAUCCUGGUCGGACAUCAGGAGGUUAGUGCAAUGGCAUAAGCUAGCUUGACUGCGAGAGUGACGGCUCGAGCAGGUGCGAAAGCAGGUCAUAGUGAUCCGGUGGUUCUGAAUGGAAGGGCCAUCGCUCAACGGAUAAAAGGUACUCCGGGGAUAACAGGCUGAUACCGCCCAAGAGUUCAUAUCGACGGCGGUGUUUGGCACCUCGAUGUCGGCUCAUCACAUCCUGGGGCUGAAGUAGGUCCCAAGGGUAUGGCUGUUCGCCAUUUAAAGUGGUACGCGAGCUGGGUUUAGAACGUCGUGAGACAGUUCGGUCCCUAUCUGCCGUGGGCGCUGGAGAAUUGAGGGGGGCUGCUCCUAGUACGAGAGGACCGGAGUGGACGCAUCACUGGUGUUCGGGUUGUCAUGCCAAUGGCACUGCCCGGUAGCUAAAUGCGGAAGAGAUAAGUGCUGAAAGCAUCUAAGCACGAAACUUGCCCCGAGAUGAGUUCUCCCUGAGACUAUAAGUCUCCUGAAGGAACGUUGAAGACGACGACGUUGAUAGGUCGGGUGUGUAAGCGCAGCGAUGCGUUGAGCUAACCGAUACUAAUGAACCGUGAGGCUUAACCU